AACGAACGCUGGCGGCAGGCUUAACACAUGCAAGUCGAGCGCCCCGCAAGGGGAGCGGCAGACGGGUGAGUAACGCGUGGGAAUCUACCCAUCUCUACGGAAUAACGCAUGGAAACGUGUGCUAAUACCGUAUACGUCCUUCGGGAGAAAGAUUUAUCGGAGAUGGAUGAGCCCGCGUUGGAUUAGCUAGUUGGUGGGGUAAAGGCCUACCAAGGCGACGAUCCAUAGCUGGUCUGAGAGGAUGAUCAGCCACACUGGGACUGAGACACGGCCCAGACUCCUACGGGAGGCAGCAGUGGGGAAUAUUGGACAAUGGGCGCAAGCCUGAUCCAGCCAUGCCGCGUGAGUGAUGAAGGCCCUAGGGUUGUAAAGCUCUUUCACCGGUAAAGAUAAUGACGGUAACCGGAGAUGAAGCCCCGGCUAACUUCGUGCCAGCCGCCGCAGUAAUAC
rnacentral:rRNA from 1 species